CCUACGGGUGGCAGCAGUGGGGAAUAUUGCACAAUGGGGGAAACCCUGAUGCAGCGACGCCGCGUGAGUGAAGAAGUAUUUCGGUACGUAAAGCUCUAUCAGCAGGGAAGAAAAUGACGGUACCUGACUAAGAAGCCCCGGCUAACUACGUGCCAGCAGCCGCGGUAAUACGUAGGGGGCAAGCGUUAUCCGGAUUUACUGGGUGUAAAGGGAGCGUAGACGGCAGGGCAAGUCUGGAGUGAAAUCCCAUGGCUUAACCAUGGAACUGCUUUGGAAACUGUGCAGCUAGAGUGCAGGAGAGGUAAGCGGAAGUCCUGGUGUAGCGGUGAAAUGCGUAGAUAUUAGGAGGAACACCAGUGGCGAAGGCGGCUUACUGGACUGUAACUGACGUUGAGGCUCGAAAGCGUGGGGAGCAAACAGGAUUAGAUACCCCGGUAGUC
rnacentral:rRNA from 1 species